rnacentral:piRNA from 2 species
GUCCACUCCACGCAUCGACCUGG